GCUGUAGUUCAGUUGGUAGAGCGCCAGAUUGUGAUUCUGGUUGUCGUGGGUUCGAGUCCCAUCAG
rnacentral:tRNA from 1 species